GCCUGGAUGGCUCAGUCGGUAAAGCGUCUGACUUCGGCUCAGUCUUGAUCUCACAGUUCAAGCCCUGUGUCCGGCU
rnacentral:tRNA from 1 species